CCAAGUGGAGGGGAACUGAUGAUUCCCAAACCGGGGGGCGAGAAGUUGGUUAGCCUAGGAAAGUAGGACUAAGACAGCCUGGGCAUUGUUUGUCAAGGCCUGAGUCUGUCAGAGUCGCUGGAAGCCCAAGGCCCCAGUCACCUCAUUUAAUCCUCGCAACAGUGCAGGGAGAAAGGAGGAUGGGAAUGGUUUUCUCCAUUUUACAGUUGAGGGAAGGUUAGGUGCUUGCCCAAAGUCAUACAGCCACAAGGGAUAAGAUGAAAAUAGAACUCAGGUGCCCUGACAUCUAGGCCAGGCCCCUCCCACUAUGCUUAGCUGCCCACUUCCAAGAGACCCACAUCCGAUGCCCGGAAAAUGCCAUGUGGAAGACGGCUGUUACGAUUCUAAGUUUAAGUUGGGGGUGGGGUGGGGGGCAGUGUGUAGUGGGUACAGCCAGGGGUGAAGGAUGGGGACGCCGUCCUGCCAUCCUGGAUAUGGAGUCUUUUUUUAUGGCUUAUGCCACUCCAACUGGCAUACACAAGGCAUAGCUGAAGAUUAAACGUCCUCAACGUCAUUAGCCCAUUAGAUUUCCUGACACCUUCUCCCAGAAUUCUGUCCUGUUUACAUUCCCAAGCCAGUUUCUGUUUAUCACAUUUGCAGAAGGUUCAUAAAGAGAUGUCCUCUUCCUCGCCACUCUUCAGGGAGCAAAUAUUCUCUCAUAUACUUUUGGGAAGGAAAAGAAUUCCUUUCAGUCCAGAGCUUUAGUUGCCAAAAAAAAAUUGCUUUACCAUCCCCCAACCCUACCUUGGGUGACCAGCUUGUCCCAGUCCACCCCGGACUGUUCCAGCUGAAAGUCCCGUGUUCUCCCUUUGAUCCGGGGCAAACUCGAGUGGUCCUGAUUUCCUGCACCAGCUGCUCUCCCUGAAUCCUGCCUCUUCCAUUCCUAUAUUUAGGACUAAUUUUUGCAAGUUGAUCCUGCUGCCACAGGGGCUUGUUAAUAGCAAACAGACAUCCCCUGGGAUCACCCGAGGCAGAGGGAGAUGGGCCUGCGUGGCUCAGGUAUGGUGGAGUUGAUCUUGAUCUGAAGGCGUUCCCUCUCCCUGCUUCGUGGGGUGAUGAGUCAGACUCUGCAAAACGCAUUGCCCUGGCUGGAAAGACGUUCUGUGGCUCCAUCUACAUCUAACAAAGGCGGAGCAGUGGCCUUUUGCUCUGUAGGACAAGGACAGUCCCCACAAAGGUGAAGGGCAGAUUUUCUGGGGCCUGGGCUUCCUGGUGUGAGACUGGAGAGGCUCCUAGGAGUGGAAGAGAGUGGCUGUGGCUGGUCAGAGGUGACAGGAAGAGGUGUUGGUGCCGCUCACUCAUGCCAGCAGGAAAUUAGGACUAUCCCAUUGCCCCAGGGAGAAUUCUUAAUGUUCCCGGGGUAGAACAUUUUAGCAAAGCCAGGCAGGGAGCAAUUACCUACAACGUCAAUCAGUCUAUGAGUUAACUGAGUAGAUCCAGCACGGACCAGUUUGUCCUUCAUUUCUCUUGGCAAAGCGGGUCGGCUGGCUUUGGCUGGCUUUCCCCGGCCCACCAGAGAGGGCAGGUUGUCCCAGCAGGUCAGAGGAGGCGCUAUGCUAAGCACAGACGUUCAGGCACUUGCUCAGAUGGCGUGUCUCAAGUGUUCCUCUUUUCUUAGGAAAGAGAGUUCUCUGUCCACGGUUAGAUAAGGGCGCCUUUCUGACCUGUCACAGGGUAUUUGUUUCUGCCGCUCGAUUUGUUGUUUCGGGGCGUGACUGACAGCUCCGGGGAGGGGAGAGGACAAUCUAGGAGCCUUUCAGCUUUUGCUGUCUCGCGGGAGCUUGGACGACGGAGAAGAUGGAUUCACUGCGUGCGUGCGCCGGGCUUAUGUAAGCCGCAGGCGGCAGGCGGAGUGGGGAAAGGAAUGCGGCGAGGAGAGCUGGUUGUUACACAUCUAUCGGCAUUCCACUGCCCAGAAGUCUCUGUAGAGGAGGCAGAACUUGAAAUGGACCUUACAAGUUUGGAAAAGAAGCAUCUUGUAUUUCUCUUCCACAGAAGUGUGUACAAUUACGUAUAUCUCCUUUUUAAGAAGAAAGUUGAUGCUCUUUUCCCGACUUGAGAGAGAGAAAAGAAUAAGAAGAUUCAAAGGUUUCUGUGUCUAAGGACUGAAUGGAUGGUGUACCACUUGGCAAGAUAGAGGAUACAAGAGGAUUUUGACCAAAUGCAUUCAACAUGUAUCUGCAUGCAAACUCUUGAAGCUCUUGGCUGUUUUUUCCAACCACCGCGGUGAAUUCCGGAUGAGAGCUGGGGCUUGAAGAGAGACAGAGCUUUCUCUGGAAUGUCUGUUCUUCCUGCCAGUCAGUGUUCAUCUGGCAGGCUGGCCUUUGACUGCGCUGGUAUUUUAAGCAUCUAAAUGUGUUCUAAGCUGGCCCGGCAGCCAUCCUAUGCAAUCCACGUCACUGCCCUUUACGCCGGAGGGGACUUAGGGACCCUUGGAAUGCUCAAUCAGCAGAGCCUGCACCGAAUUGCAGUGGAAUCCAUUUGCCCAGGGACGAUUUAUCAGCAUACUGCAUCUGGCUGACUCAGACACCGAUAAUACAACCUGCUAUGUUGACUCCCACUCUUCUCCUCAAAAGGACAGCAUGGGACUUCUCUGAGGCGCUUACUCUCAUGAAGUGAUUUAUUGAUGGUUCUCAAAGUUUAAUGGGUGUAAGAGUCGCUCAGGGAGCUUGUUAAAUUAGGGAUUCCCAAGUCUGGUCCAUCAAAUAUUCUGAAUUAGAAGUUUCAGAUGGGACUCAGGAAGACAUGCAUUUUAAUCAAGCAUCUCAGGAUACGUUGGUGCAAACGAUGUUUGGAUUAUGCAAGAGAAACACUGUAAUUUGACUGGGUCUCAUUUUAUUUUUACGAAGUCGAAUAAUGGGAUUUACUUCAUUAAACUGUAAAUUUCUUGAGCUUAGAGGCCGUGGUCUAUAUCCUGCUGCAAUUCUUAGCCCAGUGUCUGGCAUAGAGUAGGUUAAACUCAGUUACCCAUGACUCUCAGUACCUUUUUGUUAGUCUGAGCUGGGGGACUGAAGAACUAAGCUUGAUUCCAGGUCUCUGGGGCUGCAGAAGAGAUUGGGGCAGACAGCAUGGGGAGCUUUCUGCAUGCUGGCCUGGGCAUGGUAAGGCAGUGAUAUUAGUUUUCAGGCCAUCAAAUUCUGCCUGUGCUGUUAUAUUUCUUAAGUGAACCUCUAAUAUCUUUUCUCCAGAAGCAACUUAAGUCUUAAUUUUUUGUUUCCUGCUAUGCCUUACUUUGAGUAGGUCCACAUAUCUAAUAAUAAUAACGGAUGAUCCCCACUCAUCCCCAGCCUCAUUUGUCAAUGUUCCUAGCAAGAAGUCUAAUCUAGCAAGAAUCCUGUCUAAUGAAUUUUCAUUCGUUAUGGUUUAUUCCAGCCCUUGGUGUCCUGUGUACCAGAUGUGGGGUGAAAGGUUGCACACAGACACAUCCUGGUAAUAACAUGGGCUAAGUUCUCAGUGUCCCUGAGCAGAGACAAUGGCAGGUGGAAAAGUAUACCUGGAUGCCCUUGACCCUCAUGGAGACAUGAUGGAGGGUGGCAGGUAGAGAAUCUGACCUUUGGUAGAAAUGUCGAUCUAUCGUUAAUGGCCAAGACCUGGCUAAACGCAAUGGAAAAACUAACUCUUUGGCACCCAAACCAGGAGUCAUUACCUCCUGAAUUAUACCCAGGAAAGAGAGACUGAAUACUCCAGAAACAAUCUUCACAGAAGUUCCAGAGGAAAUCAAGCAAUUUUAGCCAAGUUGCUAAGGCAACUUCGGAGACUCGAUUUUGUGAGUGGAUACAACCUCCUCCGGAGAGCCAGGUGUCUAGGGAAGAUUGGUCCCAGGGUGAGUCUGAGGGUGGAGGGUGAAGGGGUUCAUACUGAUGUUCCAAGCCAAUCAAUGUGGUUCUGACCUCUUAGGAGUUUUUGAUUGGGACAUGGAUGAAUGACAAAUCUGGCCAUUGAAACAUGAGGAAAAGUCUGCUGGGGGCUGCUAGGGAAAGUUAACUUGUUUUUAAAAAGAUACAGAGAGGGGCUGGCCCCGUGGCCGAGUGGUUAAGUUCGCGCGCUCCGCUGCAGGCAGCCCAGUGU